rnacentral:rRNA from 1 species
GAUGAACGCUGGCGGCGUGCCUAAUACAUGCAAGUCGAGCGAACGGACGAGAAGCUUGCUUCUCUGAUGUUAGCGGCGGACGGGUGAGUACCACGUGGAUAACCUACCUAUAAGACUGGGAUAACUUCGGGAAACCGUAGCUAAUACCGGCUAAUAUUUUGAACCGCAUGGUUCAAAAGUGAAAGACGGUCUUGCUGUCACUUAUAGAUGGAUCCGCGCUGCAUUAGCUAGUUGGUAAGGUAACGGCUUACCAAGGCAACGAUGCAUAGCCGACCUGAGAGGAUGAUCAGCCACACUGGAACUGAGACACGGUCCAGACUCCUACGGGAGGCAGCAGUAGGGAAUCUUCCGCAAUGGGCGAAAGCCUGACGGAGCAACGCCGCGUGAGUGAUGAAGGUCUUCGGAUCGUAAAACUCUGUUAUUAGGGAAGAACAUAUGUGUAAGUAACUGUGCACAUCUUGACGGUACCUAAUCAGAAAGCCACGGCUAACUACGUG